GCGUCAUAGAGGGUGAGAAUCCCGUCUUUGACACGGACUACCAGUGCUUAUGUGAUGCGCUCUCAAAGAGUCGAGUUGUUUGGGAAUGCAGCUCAAAAUGGGUGGUAAAUUCCAUCUAAAGCUAAAUAUUGGCGAGAGACCGAUAGCGAACAAGUACCGUGAGGGAAAGAUGAAAAGAACUUUGGAAAGAGAGUUAAACAGUACGUGAAAUUGUUGAAAGGGAAACGCUUGAAGUCAGUCACGUUGGCCAGAAAUCAACCCUCAUGGGUGUACUUUCUGGUUUUACGGGUCAGCAUCAAUUUUGAUUGUUGGAUAAAAGUCAAUAUUUAUGCAUUUUCGGAUGUAUAGCCUUUGGUUGCAUACAACAGUUGGGAUUGAGGAACUCAGCAUGCCGCAAGGCCGGGUCACUUGUGAUCACGUACAUGCUUAGGAUGCUGGCAUAAUGGCUUUAAUCGACCCGUCUUGAAACACGGACCAAGGAGUCUAACAUGCCCGCGAGUGUUUGGGUGGUAAACCCGAGCGCGUAAUGGAAGUGAAAGUUGAGAUCUUCGUCAUGGGGAGCAUCGACGCCCGGACCAGACCUUUUGUGACGGUUCCGCGGUAGAGCGUGUAUGUUGGGACCCGAAAGAUGGUGAACUAUGCCUGAAUAGGGUGAAGCCAGAGGAAACUCUGGUGGAGGCUCGUAGCGAUUCUGACGUGCAAAUCGAUCGUCAAAUUUGGGUAUAGGGGCGAAAGACUAAUCGAACCAUCUAGUAGCUGGUUCCUGCCGA
rnacentral:rRNA from 1 species